rnacentral:tRNA from 1 species
CGUAAAGUUUAGCAGCGGUUGCUUAAUAAUCUCAUCAGUUAUCUAAUAAAGGUUCGAAUCCUUUCUUUACAA